rnacentral:tRNA from 1 species
AAGGAUUUAAGUUAAAUAAACUCGUAGCCUUCAAAGCUCCAAAUAAAGAUUUUUAUAAUUCUUU